UGGGUUUAAUCUUAAGACAAGUCCCCUAAUCUGGUUGACCUAGCCUUUCUUCAGCCAUUUCUGACUAAGUCUGGAAAAUCAGCCCGACCUAUCACCUUAGGACCGGUUUAUCUUUGGAAAGUUGAGACAAACGUCCAGAAACCUCUUUAUAGAAGUUGGAGAACGAAGUUCCUACCACAACUUUGUUAAUUGGACCUUGGUCCAAUUCACCUCCGAAGCUUCCCAAAUCUGCAACUCUAAUCAACCCCG
rnacentral:lncRNA from 1 species